rnacentral:rRNA from 1 species
AACGCUAGCUACAGGCUUAACACAUGCAAGUCGAGGGGCAGCAUGGUCUUAGCUUGCUAAGGCUGAUGGCGACCGGCGCACGGGUGAGUAACACGUAUCCGACCUGCCGUCUACUCUUGGCCAGCCUUCUGAAAGGAAGAUUAAUCCAGGAUGGGAUCAUGAGUUCACAUGUCCGCAUGAUUAAAGGUAUUUUCCGGUAGACGAUGGGGAUGCGUUCCAUUAGAUAGUAGGCGGGGUAACGGCCCACCUAGUCAACGAUGGAUAGGGGUUCUGAGAGGAAGGUCCCCCACAUUGGAACUGAGACACGGUCCAAACUCCUACGGGAGGCAGCAGUGAGGAAUAUUGGUCAAUGGGCGAUGGCCUGAACCAGCCAAGUAGCGUGAAGGAUGACUGCCCUAUGGGUUGUAAACUUCUUUUAUAAAGGAAUAAAGUCGGGUAUGCAUACCCGUUUGCAUGUACUUUAUGAAUAAGGAUCGGCUAACUCCGUGCCAGCAGCCGCGGUAAUACGGAGGAUCCGAGCGUUAUCCGGAUUUAUUGGGUUUAAAGGGAGCGUAGAUGGAUGUUUAAGUCAGUUGUGAAAGUUUGCGGCUCAACCGUAAAAUUGCAGUUGAUACUGGAUGUCUUGAGUGCAGUUGAGGCAGGCGGAAUUCGUGGUGUAGCGGUGAAAUGCUUAGAUAUCACGAAGAACUCCGAUUG